AUGGUGCCCAAGCAGAACCCAAAGCCUAAAUUCCAGGAGGGUGAACGAGUGCUGUGCUUUCAUGGACCUCUUCUUUAUGAAGCAAAGUGUGUCAAGGUUUCCAUAAAAGAUAAACAAAUGAAAUACUUUAUACAUUAGAGUGGUUGGAAUAAAAAUUGGGAUGAAUGUGUUCCAGAGAGCAGAGUACUCAAAUACAUGGACACCAAUCUGCAGAAGCAGCGAGAUCUUCAAAAGGCCAAUCAAGAGCAAUAUGCAGAGUGGAAAAUGAGAGGGGCUGCUCCAGGAAGGAAGAUGUCUGGCCUGCAACAGAAAAGUGUUGAAGUGAAAACAAAAAAGAACAAACAGAAAACACCUGGAAAUGGUGAUGGUGGCAGUACCAGCAAGACACCUCAGCCUCCUCAAAAGAAAAGGGCCGGGGUAGAUCCAACUGUUGAAAAUGAAGAAACAUUUAUGAACAGAGUUGAAGUUAAAGUAAAGAUUCCUGAAGAGCUAAAACCAUGGCUUGUUGAUGACUGGGACUUAAUUACCUGACAAAAACAGCUCUUUUAUCUUCCUGCCAAGAAAAAUGUGGAUUCCAUUCUAGAGGAUUAUGCAAAUUACAAGAAAUCUCUAGGAAACACCUAUAAUAAGGAGUAUGCUGUCAAUGAAGUUGUGGCCAGGAUCAAAGUGUACUUCAAUGUAAUGCUGGGCACUCAGCUGCUCUACAAAUUUGAGAGACCAGAGUACACUGAAAUUCUCGCUGAUCACCAGGAUACACCCAUGUCCAAGGUGUAUAGAGCACCACAUCUACUGAGAUUAUUUGUACUAAUUGGAGCAAUGUUGGCCUACACAACUGGAUGAGAAGAGCCUUGCUUUAUUACUGAAUUAUCUUCAUGAUUUCCUCAAGUAUCUAGCGAAGAAUUCUGUAACUUUUUUCAGUGCCAGCGAGUAGGAAGUGCCUCCUCCAGAGUACCAUCAGAAAGCUGUGUGA